rnacentral:rRNA from 1 species
UUCGCCCUUAGAGUUUGAUCCUGGCUCAGGACGAACGCUGGCGGCGCGCCUAACACAUGCAAGUCGAACGAGCGAGAGAGAGCUUGCUUUCUCGAGCGAGUGGCGAACGGGUGAGUAACGCGUGAGGAACCUGCCUCAAAGAGGGGGGCAACAGUUGGAAACGACUGCUAAUACCGCAUAAGCCCACAGCUCGGCAUCGAGCAGAGGGAAAAGGAGCAAUCCGCUUUGAGAUGGCCUCGCGUCCGAUUAGCUAGUUGGUGAGGUAAUGGCCCACCAAGGCGACGAUCGGUAGCCGGGCUGAGAGGUUGAACGGCCACAUUGGGACUGAGACACGGCCCAGACUCCUACGGGAGGCAGCAGUGGGGAAUAUUGCACAAUGGGGGAAACCCUGAUGCAGCGACGCCGCGUGGAGGAAGAAGGUCUUCGGAUUGUAAACUCCUGUUGUUGAGGAAGAUAAUGACGGUACUCAACAAGGAAGUGACGGCUAACUACGUGCCAGCAGCCGCGGUAAAACGUAGGUCACAAGCGUUGUCCGGAAUUACUGGGUGUAAAAGGAGCGCAGGCGGGAAGACAAGUUGGAAGUGAAAUCCAUGGGCUCAACCCAUGAACUGCUUUCAAAACUGUUUUUCUUGAGUAGUGCAGAGGUAGGCGGAAUUCCCGGUGUAGCGGUGGAAUGCGUAGAUAUCGGGAGGAACACCAGUGGCGAAGGCGGCCUACUGGGCACCAACUGACGCUGAGGCUCGAAAGUGUGGGUAGCAAACAGGAUUAGAUACCCUGGUAGUCCACACUGUAAACGAUGAUUACUAGGUGUUGGAGGAUUGACCCCUUCAGUGCCGCAGUUAACACAAUAAGUAAUCCACCUGGGGAGUACGACCGCAAGGUUGAAACUCAAAGGAAUUGACGGGGGCCCGCACAAGCAGUGGAGUAUGUGGUUUAAUUCGACGCAACGCGAAGAACCUUACCAAGUCUUGACAUCCUGCGACGCACAUAGAAAUAUGUGUUUCCUUCGGGACGCAGAGACAGGUGGUGCAUGGUUGUCGUCAGCUCGUGUCGUGAGAUGUUGGGUUAAGUCCCGCAACGAGCGCAACCCUUAUCAUUAGUUGCUACGCAAGAGCACUCUAAUGAGACUGCCGUUGAUAAAACGGAGGAAGGUGGGGAUGACGUCAAAUCAUCAUGCCCCUUAUGACCUGGGCUACACACGUACUACAAUGGUGAUAAAACAGAGGGAAGCAACACAGCGAUGUGAAGCAAAUCCCGAAAAAUCAUCUCAGUUCAGAUUGCAGGCUGCAACUCGCCUGCAUGAAGUCGGAAUUGCUAGUAAUCGCGGAUCAGCAUGCCGCGGUGAAUACGUUCCCGGGCCUUGUACACACCGCCCGUCA